CCUACGGGAUGCAGCAGUGAGGAAUAUUGGUCAAUGGACGAGAGUCUGAACCAGCCAAGUAGCGUGAAGGAUGACUGCCCUAUGGGUUGUAAACUUCUUUUAUAUGGGAAUAAAAUGUUCCACGUGUGGGAUUUUGUAUGUACCAUCUGAAUAAGGAUCGGCUAACUCCGUGACAGCAGCCGCGGUAAGACGGAGGAUCCGAGAGUUAUCCGGAUGUAUUGGGUUUAAAGGGAGCGUAGGUGGAUUGUUAAGUCAGUUGUGAAAGUUUGCGGCUCAACCGUAAAAUUGCAGUUGAAACUGGCAGUCUUGAGUACAGUAGAGGUGGGCGGAAUUCGUGGUGUAGCGGUGAAAUGCUUAGAUAUCACGAAGAACUACGAUUGCGAAGGCAGCUCACUGGACUGCAACUGACACUGAGGCUCGAAAGUGUGGGUAUCAAACAGGAUUAGAUACCCGGGUAGUC
rnacentral:rRNA from 1 species